GACGAACGCUGGCGGCGUGCAUAAUACAUGCAAGUAGAACGCUGAAGGAGGAGCUUGCUCUUCUGGAUGAGUUGCGAACGGGUGAGUAACGCGUAGGUAACCUGCCUGGUAGCGGGGGAUAACUAUUGGAAACGAUAGCUAAUACCGCAUAAGAGUAGAUGUUGCAUGACAUUUGCUUAAAAGGUGCAAUUGCAUCACUACCAGAUGGACCUGCGUUGUAUUAGCUAGUUGGUGGGGUAACGGCUCACCAAGGCGACGAUACAUAGCCGACCUGAGAGGGUGAUCGGCCACACUGGGACUGAGACACGGCCCAGACUCCUACGGGAGGCAGCAGUAGGGAAUCUUCGGCAAUGGACGGAAGUCUGACCGAGCAACGCCGCGUGAGUGAAGAAGGUUUUCGGAUCGUAAAGCUCUGUUGUAAGAGAAGAACGAGUGUGAGAGUGGAAAGUUCACACUGUGACGGUAUCUUACCAGAAAGGGACGGCUAACUACGUG
rnacentral:rRNA from 1 species